GUAGAGGAGCUUUCGGGCGCGGCACCGGUCUAAGUUCCUUGGAACGGGGCGUCAUAGAGGGUGAGAAUCCCGUAUGUGACCGGCGACCAAGCCCAUGUGAAAGCCCUUCGACGAGUCGAGUUGUUUGGGAAUGCAGCUCAAAAUGGGUGGUAAAUUUCAUCUAAAGCUAAAUACCGGCCAGAGACCGAUAGCGCACAAGUAGAGUGAUCGAAAGAUGAAAAGCACUUUGGAAAGAGAGUCAAAAAGUACGUGAAAUUGUUGAAAGGGAAGCGCUUGCAACCAGACCUGCCCGCGGGCGAUCAGCCGUCCUUCUGGGCGGUGCACUCGACCGCGAUCAGGCCAGCAUCGGUUCGGGCGGCCGGAUAAAGGCCUCGGGAACGUAGCUCCUUUCGGGGAGUGUUAUAGCCCUUGGUGUAAUGCGGCUAGCCCGGACCGAGGACCGCGCUUCGGCUAGGAUGCUGGCGUAAUGGUUGCAAGCGGCCCGUCUUGAAACACGGACCAAGGAGUCUAACAUCUAUGCGAGUGUUUGGGUGUCAAACCCACACGCGGAAUGAAAGUGAACGGAGGUGGGAACCCUGAAGGGCGCACCAUCGACCGAUCCAGAUGUCUUCGGAUGGAUUUGAGUACGAGCAUAGCUGUUGGGACCCGAAAGAUGGUGAACUAUGCCUGAAUAGGGUGAAGCCAGAGGAAACUCUGGUGGAGGCUCGCAGCGGUUCUGACGUGCAAAUCGAUCGUCAAAUUUGGGUAUAGGGGCGAAAGACUAAUCGAACCAU
rnacentral:rRNA from 1 species